GACGAACGCUGGCGGCGUGCUUAACACAUGCAAGUCGAACGGAAAGGCUCCAGCUUGCUGGAGUACUCGAGUGGCGAACGGGUGAGUAACACGUGGGUGAUCUGCCCUGCACUUCGGGAUAAGCCUGGGAAACUGGGUCUAAUACCGGAUAGGACCGCACUUUGGUGUGUGUGGUGGAAAGGCUUUUCUGGUGUGGGAUGAGCUCGCGGCCUAUCAGUUUGUUGGUGGGGUAAUGGCCUACCAAGACGGCGACGGGUAGCCGGCCUGAGAGGGUGGACGGUCACAUUGGGACUGAGAUACGGCCCAGACUCCUACGGGAGGCAGCAGUGGGGAAUAUUGCACAAUGGGGGAAACCCUGAUGCAGCGGCGCCGCGUGGGGGAUGAAGGCCUUCGGGUUGUAAACUCCUUUCGCUAGGGACGAAGCUUUUUGUGACGGUACCUGGAGAAGAAGCACCGGCUAACUACGUGCCAGCAACCGCGGUAAUACGUAGGGUGCGAGCGUUGUCCGGAAUUACUGGGCGUAAAGGGCUCGUACGUGGUGUGUCGCGUCGUCUGUGAAUUCCGGGGCUUAACUCCGGGCGUGCAGGCGAUACGGGCAUGCUUGAGUGCUGUAGGGGUAGCUGGAAUGCCUGGUGUAGCGGUGAAAUGCGCAGAUAUCAGGCAGAACGCCGAUGGCGAAGGCAGGUUACUGGGCAGUUACUGACGCUGAGGAGCGAAAGCAUGGGUAGCGAACAGGAUUAGAUACCCUGGUAGUCCAUGCCGUAAACGGUGGGCGCUAGGUGUGAGGCCCUUCCACGGGUUUCGUGCCGUAGCUAACGUGUUAAGCGCCCCGCCUGGGGAGUACGGCCGCAAGGCUAAAACUCAAAGGAAUUGACGGGGGCCCGCACAAGCGGCGGAGCAUGUGGAUUAAUUCGAUGCAACGCGAAGAACCUUACCUGGGCUUGACAUGCACCAGACAGGCGUACAGAUACGUUUUCCCUUUGUGGUUGGUGUACAGGUGGUGCAUGGUUGUCGUCAGCUCGUGUCGUGAGAUGUUGGGUUAAGUCCCGCAACGAGCGCAACUCUUGUCUUAUGUUGCCAGCCUUUGGUUGGGGACUCAUGAGAGACUGCCGGGGUUAACUUCGGAGGAAGGGGGGAUGACCUUCAAUCAUCAUGCCCCUUAUGUCCAGGGCUUCCCACAUGCUACAACGGUUCGGCACAACGCGUGGUGAGACUGUGAAGGUGGACUUAUCUCCUUCACACCCGUCCUAGUUCGGAAUGGGGUUUUGCAACUCGACCCCAUGAACUUCGGAAUUCUCUCGUAAUCGCCCAUCCCCAAUGCGCCGGUGGAAAUCUUCCCGGGGCC
rnacentral:rRNA from 1 species